rnacentral:lncRNA from 1 species
GCAUGACAUCUAUGUACAUUAUUCUUUUCUGGUAGCAUUUGGUUCGGAUAUAAAUAAGAACUAAUUAUUACAAAAAUAGAUACAAAUAUGGGAUAAAAAAAAUAGUGUUUGGAUGAAAAUAAUGUUUAAAUAGAUAAUAUGGAAUAAGAAAAAUAAUGGAUAGUUAUAUGUAGAAAAUGGAGGUGUUGGUGACUUGGUAGGGAUAGUUAUAUCAGAUUAUUUUAGAUAAUCGAGAAUUACUAUUCUUGGAUAAAAAAUUUGUGUUUGGGUAUAAAGGGAGGGAUAAGGGGUUAUCGCUCCACUUAUUCCUAAUCCAAACAUUGCCUCUAAAUUUACUAUAUGAUAAAAAAAAAAUUUAUUAUUGAUUAUGAGUUAAUUUCACCCUAAACCAACUUAAAUUUUCUACAUUUUUUUUUAUUUACUUGAACAAAAUCAAAAUUUUCUUUUUUUCGAUUGAAUCGAACUGAAUUUUUCUCGUUUUUUGCUUGAACCGAACCAAUCAUUAUUGAGUGUGGGAUUCUCAAACCGGCUCAAGUCCUCCGCAUGUUAAUAAUCUCUUUCUUUGCUUAAACCAAACCGGAUUUUUCUCAUUUCUUGUUUAAACUAAACCGAAUCACAUCUCUACAUUAGACCGAGCUGUUCCUCUUCCACUUUUUUUUGGUUGUUACCUUCCUUCAUCGGUAAGAUGAAUCCCAUCUCUUAUCAUUGUUGCUUUUAUCGUUAUUAUCUCUUUCUUUGUUGUUGUUUUUUAUUUUUUUCUCUUAUUAUCUAUCUGUUUUAUCGCACGAAUUAUUACACUCGUAUAUACACUAUUUCAGCAGCUUAAUUAUAUCUCCACUAUAUAUCUAAUAAUAUGCUAAAUUAUAGAAAAUUUUUUUAUAAAUAUUGAUUUUUUUUUCUAACUUUCAAAAGCCUAUAUUUUACCCUCUGAACAUUUCAAGUUGUUAUAUUUAGUCCCCCCUUUAUCAGAAUUCCAUCACUAUUCCGUUAAUUUCUUAUAAUUUAUACUGAAAAUACUCUUCAAAAUAAUAGAAAUAUAUUAAAAAUUUAAUUUUUCUUAUAAAAGAUGUAAGAACAAUUUAAUUAUUUUACCCUCUCCAUUAAUGUCAUACUUUUCUAAAAAUAUUUUUAAAAUUUUAAAAAAGUAAAAUAUAGAUUUUUGAAAGUUAGAGAGAAAAAAAAAAAAAGAAUUAUAGAGGGUUUUUUUUGUAAUUUAGUCCUAAUAAUAUCAUAAUAGAGUAACCCACCAUACUAGGGCCUAUAUAAUAUAUUUAUUUUAAAAGUACGUUUGAAAUAAAUUAUAGUAAAAUUUUUUAUAUGUCUUUGGCGACUAAAAUUUAUAAUAUUUUAAAUUUUACUAUACCAUAAAUAGAGUUUUUUAUAUAAUUUUUAAAAAGUUGGGAGAGUCAGGGCCGCUGCGAGAUUUUAAGUUCGAAGUCUAACUACUUCACAUUUCUACUUAAUUUUAUUUCUAUAUUUAAAAAAAAAUAAACAAAGUGGGUAGUUAGCUAUAUUUUUCUAAAAAAUUAUAUUGUGAAAGAGUAAUGUUAUACCUGUAUUCGAAUUUUAAAAUAUUUUACCGAUAUGUUUAUAUGAAAGAUUUUAAUUAGAUGAUUGACAAAAUUUGCAGAAAGAUGUUGAAUAUAAAUAUUUAGAAACAUAAUUCUCUAAAAAUUUAAGCUUUUGGAGAAUUAUGAUUAUUUUUUAUUUUCUAUCAUGAUAUCAAAGCAUUUUGUCUUGAACUCAGACGUGAGAAAAAGCUAGCGUUGACUAUAAAAGUAUUUAAAAAAUAUUAUUGUCUAAAAAGCUUAAAUUUUUAGAGGACUAUAUCUGUUUCACAUUCUUUAAUAUAGAAUAGUGGUUUAAAUUCUGAUGCGGACACUCUUUUUCGAAUUUUUUUGCAACCAUGACCGUGAAAAGCUCUUUUUCUUUUUUUGUGAUUUGUGGCUAGAAAGAUCUGUAGAGUUACGAGAAAAAACGAUAAAAAAAUAUUUUAGUUGCUUCUAUAAAUAAUAUAUAUUAUAAAUCACACAAAAAAAAUCCAAACCUUUUAGGUAAAAAAAAGGUAAAAAAAACAAAACUUAUCUAGACUAUGAAUUAUUUUGAAUCGACUAUGUAAUUUUUUAAAAUUUUGAUUUUAUCAUCCAACCUUUUAAUUUGUUUGAUUUAAGUCGAUCAAAAAUGCAUUGACUUUAAAAUUUAAGCUAAUUAUUUGCUGUAAUGAAUUUAUAAUUACGAAAAUUAUAUAAAGCAUACUAACUAAACCUAAAAAAAUAAACAAUACUUUCAGAAUUUAAAAUCAAGGUAUAUAUCGCCAAUCGACUCAAACCAAACAAAUUAAAAAAUUAGAUAGUAAAUUUUUGAAAGAUUACAUAACUGAUUCAAAAUGAUCAAUAAUUCACAUAAGUUAUGUAGAUUUUUACCAACUUUUUUUCUACCUAAAA